rnacentral:rRNA from 1 species
AUUGAACGCUGGCGGCAGGCUUAACACAUGCAAGUCGAGCGGGGGAAGGUAGCUUGCUACCGGACCUAGCGGCGGACGGGUGAGUAAUGCUUAGGAAUCUGCCUAUUAGUGGGGGACAACAUCUCGAAAGGGAUGCUAAUACCGCAUACGUCCUACGGGAGAAAGCAGGGGAUCUUCGGACCUUGCGCUAAUAGAUGAGCCUAAGUCGGAUUAGCUAGUUGGUGGGGUAAAGGCCUACCAAGGCGACGAUCUGUAGCGGGUCUGAGAGGAUGAUCCGCCACACUGGGACUGAGACACGGCCCAGACUCCUACGGGAGGCAGCAGUGGGGAAUAUUGGACAAUGGGGGGAACCCUGAUCCAGCCAUGCCGCGUGUGUGAAGAAGGCCUUAUGGUUGUAAAGCACUUUAAGCGAGGAGGAGGCCACUUUAGUUAAUACCUAGAGAUAGUGGACGUUACUCGCAGAAUAAGCACCGGCUAACUCUGUG